GGGCGAAUAGCUCAGUCGGGAGAGCAUCGGUUUUACACGCCGAGGGUCACAGGUUCGAACCCUGUUUCGCCCA
rnacentral:tRNA from 1 species